rnacentral:rRNA from 1 species
UGCCAGACUCCUACGGGAGGCAGCAGUGAGGAAUAUUGGUCAAUGGCCGAGAGGCUGAACCAGCCAAGUCGCGUGAGGGAAGACGGCCCUACGGGUUGUAAACCUCUUUUGUCGGGGAGCAAAGAGAGUCACGUGUGACUCAUUGAGAGUACCCGAAGAAAAAGCAUCGGCUAACUCCGUGCCAGCAGCCGCGGUAAUACGGAGGAUGCGAGCGUUAUCCGGAUUUAUUGGGUUUAAAGGGUGCGUAGGCGGCGCUUCAGGUCAGCGGUGAAAUACCGGGGCUCAACCCCGGGGCUGCCGUUGAAACCGGAGCGCUAGAAUUCCGAUGCCGUCGGAGGAAUGUGUGGUGUAGCGGUGAAAUGCAUAGAUAUCACACAGAACACCGAUUGCGAAGGCAUCUGACGAAUCGGAGAUUGACGCUGAGGCACGAAAGCGUGGGUAUCGAACAGGAUUAGAUACCCCCGUAC